rnacentral:lncRNA from 1 species
CUUAAUCAUGGAGCAAUGUCAUAAUGAAAUUGAAGUCGGUUGGGUUGCAUCACCUCUUCCGAAUUCCCCUUCUACAACCACAAAAGGUUCUUUAAAGUCACUGUUCACCCUUUCACUAACCCUAGAUCCUUUUCGUUUCAAAUCAAAGACAGGGUAAGGUUUUUGGUGCAGGCUUGGGGAUAGCGUCGCCACUACAUAAGCAUCCGCCUCCAACUUCAAAUAGGAAAUCGACUAUCAUUAGGUCAGGUUAACAACAAAUGCUAUCACAGAUUCAAUUUCUUUAUUCUGCAGUUGCUUGGAUACGAACAGGUGAAACAGUAAGUGGUUAUGAUUGAUUUUGUGUUUCUCUAGGGUUUUUAGUUUUCGUCAUAUAUAGUCUUUUUGUUUUGAGUUCGAUUAGGUUUGAUCUUUCAUCACCAUCCCAGUCGUAAAUCUAUCUUUUCUUGAUUUAAUUUGAACUUCAGUGGAUCUGCAUAAACCAGAUGAGAUUGAAGUUGAAGAGGACUAGAGGGAAGAGCCUGGUGGCAAAGAAGUGGGUCCUUCAGAUUGUGAUGAUGGCGAAGAAGUUGGAUCUGUAAAUGUGGGAAACUCUGCUUAGCUGGCCAAAAA